rnacentral:rRNA from 1 species
GUCGAGCGGACAGAAGGGAGCUUGCUCCCGGAUGUUAGCGGCGGACGGGUGAGUAACACGUGGGUAACCUGCCUGUAAGACUGGGAUAACUCCGGGAAACCGGAGCUAAUACCGGAUAGUUCCUUGAACCGCAUGGUUCAAGGAUGAAAGACGGUUUCGGCUGUCACUUACAGAUGGACCCGCGGCGCAUUAGCUAGUUGGUGGGGUAAUGGCUCACCAAGGCGACGAUGCGUAGCCGACCUGAGAGGGUGAUCGGCCACACUGGGACUGAGACACGGCCCAGACUCCUACGGGAGGCAGCAGUAGGGAAUCUUCCGCAAUGGACGAAAGUCUGACGGAGCAACGCCGCGUGAGUGAUGAAGGUUUUCGGAUCGUAAAGCUCUGUUGUUAGGGAAGAACAAGUGCGAGAGUAACUGCUCGCACCUUGACGGUACCUAACCAGAAAGCCACGGCUAACUACGUGCCAGCAGCCGCGGUAAUACGUAGGUGGCAAGCGUUGUCCGGAAUUAGUGGGCGUAGAGGGCUCGCAGGCGGUUUCUUAAGUCUGAUGUGAAAGCCCCCGGCUCAACCGGGGAGGGUCAUUGGAAACUGGGAAACUUGAGUGCAGAAGAGGAGAGUGAAAUUCCACGUGUAGC